CCUAACACAUGCAAGUCGAACGGUAACAGGAAACAGCUUGCUGUUUCGCUGACGAGUGGCGGACGGGUGAGUAAUGUCUGGGAAACUGCCUGAUGGAGGGGGAUAACUACUGGAAACGGUAGCUAAUACCGCAUAACGUCGCAAGACCAAAGAGGGGGACCUUCGGGCCUCUUGCCAUCAGAUGUGCCCAGAUGGGAUUAGCUAGUAGGUGGGGUAACGGCUCACCUAGGCGACGAUCCCUAGCUGGUCUGAGAGGAUGACCAGCCACACUGGAACUGAGACACGGUCCAGACUCCUACGGGAGGCAGCAGUGGGGAAUAUUGCACAAUGGGCGCAAGCCUGAUGCAGCCAUGCCGCGUGUAUGAAGAAGGCCUUCGGGUUGUAAAGUACUUUCAGCGGGGAGGAAGGGAGUAAAGUUAAUACCUUUGCUCAUUGACGUUACCCGCAGAAGAAGCACCGGCUAACUCCGUGCCAGCAGCCGCGGUAAUACGGAGGGUGCAAGCGUUAAUCGGAAUUACUGGGCGUAAAGCGCACGCAGGCGGUUUGUUAAGUCAGAUGUGAAAUCCCCGGGCUCAACCUGGGAACUGCAUCUGAUACUGGCAAGCUUG
rnacentral:rRNA from 1 species